UACGUAGGGUGCAAGCGUUGUCCGGAAUUAUUGGGCGUAAAGAGCUCGUAGGCGGCUUGUCGCGUCGUCCGUGAAAACCCACAGCUCAACUGUGGGCUUGCGGUCGAUACGGGCAGGCUCGAGUUCGGUAGGGGAGACUGGAAUUCCUGGUGUAGCGGUGAAAUGCGCAGAUAUCAGGAGGAACACCGGUGGCGAAGGCGGGUCUCUGGACAGUUCCUGACGCUGAGGCACGAAGGUCAGGGGAGCAAACGGG
rnacentral:rRNA from 1 species